CUAAGGCUCCAGAGGAAGCCACGGCUAACUCUGUGCCAGCAGCCGCGGAAAUACAGAGGCGGCAAGCGUUGUUCGGAAUUAUUGGGCGUAAAGAGCACGUAGGCGGCCUUGCAAGUCAGUUGUGAAAGCCUUCCGCUUAACGGAAGAAUGCCAGCUGAUACUACAGGGCUUGAGUACGGGAGGGGAGAGUGGAACUUCUGGUGGAGCGGUGAAAUGCGUAGAUAUCAGAAGGAACGCCGGCGGCGAAAGCGACUCUCUGGCCCGAAACUGACGCUGAGUGUGCGAAAGCUAGGGGAGCAAACGGGAUUAGAUACCCCGGUAGUCCUAGCCGUAAA
rnacentral:rRNA from 1 species